GCGCCGGUGGUGUAAUGGCGUAGAGCAUUCCCGCCCGGUCAGAGGGAGGUGCGGGUUCGAGUCUCGCCUGGCGCU
rnacentral:tRNA from 1 species